rnacentral:misc_RNA from 1 species
ACAAACUUGGUCAUUUAGAGGAAGUAAAAGUCGUAACAAGGUUUCCGUAGGUGAACCUGCGGAAGGAUCAUUAUUGAAGUUGAAUGUGUGCAGGGGUUGUCGCUGGCUCUUCGGGGCAUGUGCACGCCCUUGUACUUUACAUUUCAUCUUCCCUUUGUGAACUGUUGGCGUAGUUCAAGGCUGACCCUUUCAAGUGCCCUUGUGGUAUAUCUUGGUUUGAAGACUGCGACCCGUUGCUUUCUUUGUAUUGACGCCUUGGGCUAUUGCACCCUUUAUAAACUCGUAUAACCUUUGAAUGUCUUGUUUACUAGGUCUUCUUGACCUGUGAAUCUAUAUACAACUUUCAGCAAUGGAUCUCUUGGCUCUGGCAUCGAUGAAGAACGCAGC